GAGUUUGAUCCUGGCUCAGAUUGAGCGCUGGCCGGCAGUGCCUUACACAUGCAAGUCGAACGGCAGCACGGGAGCUUGCUCCUGGUGGCGAGUGGCGAACGGGUGAGUAAUGCAUCGGAACGUAUCCUGGAGUGGGGGAUAACGUAGCGAAAGUUACGCUAAUACCGCAUAUUCUGUGAGCAGGAAAGCGGGGGACCUUCGGGCCUCGCGCUCUUGGAGCGGCCGAUGUCGGAUUAGCUAGUUGGUGAGGUAAAGGCUCACCAAGGCGACGAUCCGUAGCAGGUCUGAGAGGAUGAUCUGCCACACUGGAACUGAGACACGGUCCAGACUCCUACGGGAGGCAGCAGUGGGGAAUUUUGGACAAUGGGGGCAACCCUGAUCCAGCCAUGCCGCGUGAGUGAAGAAGGCC
rnacentral:rRNA from 1 species